AACGCACAUUGCGCCCUUUGGUAUUCCGAAGGGCAUGCCUGUUCGAGCGUCAUUAUCACCCCUCAAGCCCCGUGCUUGGUGUUGGACGGCCGGUCGAGCGAUCGACCCCUCCUAAAGACAAUGACGGCGGCCUGUGGUUCCCCCGGUACACUGAGCUUUUAACUGAGCACGUAUCGGACAAGGGCACCCGGGACCCGGUCCUCUCCUUUAACUAGGAAACUUCUAAGGUUGACCUCGGAUCAGGUAGGAAUACGCGCUGAACUUAA
rnacentral:misc_RNA from 1 species